rnacentral:rRNA from 1 species
UACGGGGGAGCAAGCGUUGUUCGGAUUACUGGCGUAAAGGGCGCGUAGGCGGUCAGCACAAGUCAGUUGUGAAAUCUCCGGGCUUAACUCGGAAAGGUCAACUGAUACUGUGCGACUAGAGUGCAGAAGGGGCAACUGGAAUUCUCGGUGUAGCGGUGAAAUGCGUAGAUAUCGAGAGGAACACCUGCGGCGAAGGCGGGUUGCUGGGCUGACACUGACGCUGAUGCGCGAAAGCCAGGGGAGCGAACGGG